rnacentral:ncRNA from 16 species
GCAAAAGUCAGGACUAGACAUACUAUCCAUCGAUUCAGUCCUUACCUUACGCCCUCACUGAUUUCCUGCCGUGAGGGC